UACGAAGGGUGCAAGCGUUAAUCGGAAUUACUGGGCGUAAAGCGUGCGUAGGCGGUUUCUUAAGUCUGAUGUGAAAUCCCCAGGCUUAACCUGGGAACUGCAUCCGAUACUGGAUGGCUUGAAUCCGGGAGAGGGAUGCGGAAUUCCAGGUGUAGCGGUGAAAUGCGUAGAUAUCUGGAGGAACACCGGUGGCGAAGGCGGCAUCCUGGACCGGCAUUGACGCUGAGGAGCGAAAGCCAGGGGAGCAAACGGG
rnacentral:rRNA from 1 species